CAACAUCACUGCUUAUUUUUCAUUGCGACUCCACCAGAAUGUUUGCUCUCUCUCUUGCUUCUACGCAAGCUUUCGCGCUGGGAUGUGUCUGAGAUUUGUGCUAGGGAUGCCGUAGCGAGUCUUUGGUAGGGGCCCUGUCGCCCAGCGUACAGGUUAUCACAAGAGCCUGUGGUAUGCACUAGCUCGGGUCAGAGGGAUAGUGCGCUGAGUCUGUUGUGGGUUGAGCGGAUUGCAGCGUAAAUACUAGUGUGAGGGGGAUUCUACUGUUAAGGCCCUACCUGGACGGUGCGCAUGAAGAGAAGCUCUGCUGCAGUGCUUGUGUCCGCUAGGGUUUGCGGCGAGACUUGAGUUUUGGAGAGCGUUCCUCUGAAGUAGGUUUGUCGAGAUUUAUCGAGGCUGUGGGGAAGGGAAGCAAGUUUUGUCACCCUAUUUCAGAGCUUCUCAAUUUCCGAUUAUUUGGGUUGCGAAGAAUUGAGGUGGUGUCCAAUUUCUAAAUGGUUCGGCUGUGGGAAUGAAGAGUGGUCCUCGAAGCGCGGUUUUAGGCACGAGCAUCUUACAUUCCCUUGUUGCAUGAAACCCUUUGCCGCUCUGUUCCUAAUAUAGGUUUUCUUGGAAUUGGUUUAAUUAAGGGCCUGCUCACACUUGCAUGUCAGAUAUAUUUCAGCUACUAUUCAUUAUCUCUGUUCACACACAAUCUAGAUGCUUGCCUUUAUUUUUAAUUUUUUUUAUUUUAAAAAAACUAAAAUAAAAUAAUACGAUAAUCGUAAUAUAAAGUCUUAAUAAUUUGAUUACUAUGAAAUCAUAGUUUAAUGAAAAUUUUUAAUUUCCAAAAUAAUUUAAAAAUGGUUUUUUAGAUAGUUUUUUUAGUUUUCUAUAAAAAUAUUUUUUAGUUUUUUAUGUAUAGGGCCAAAUAAGUAGACAUUCGAUAUGUAAAUUUAAUAACAUUUUAAUUGUAAGUUUUGGUCAUAUUAAUGUAAAUUACAUAUAUCAAAUAAUUUCAGGAAAAAGAACUAUCAUAAUUAUAGAUUUUUUUUAAUUCAAGUUAAGUAUAUCAAUGAUAUUUUAAUUAUAUUUAGAAGCUUUUAGUAGCUAAAAUUUAUAGGAUGUAAAAAAAUAAAAUUCUAAUGAGGGUAUAAUUGUGUGUAUGAAGGUUGAUUAUGUAUAUCAUCUAAUUAUUCAUGAUGGAUAAUCUUAUAGAAUUAUUCACAAAAUAUAUUUUAAGUAAUUGGAUAUUUAUUAUGAUCUUUUGUAUUUUGGGAUUUCUAGCUAUUAUCAAAUUUAUUAUUAAAUUCAUGCAAAGUGUUGAAUUUGUAUCAAAAAAAUGGAAAAAAGAUAUUAAUUUUUUUUUUCAAUGCCAAAUUUAUAACAAAGAAAUUGAGGUAUUAUUGGAGAUAAAAAUCCUUAUAAAUAGAAAUCAAUGUGUAAAUCUUUAUAAAUUAUUUAAUAAUAUAAUAAAAGUGCUUGAAAGCAUAAAGAUUUAUAAUAAUAAAAUAUUUAAGAAUAAUCUUUUGAUUAAUGAAUUUUGAUAUUGUCAUAGAUAUAUACAUUUAUCCCAAUAGUUACUUAUAUGAUUAGGAAGAAAUAGGUAAAUAUAGAUUAAUUUCAUAAAGUCUUCUAGAAAAGCUUCGUAGAAGCUUUAUAGAUGUGGUUUUGACUUUAGGUGUAUUUAUAGGUUAGAAACUUGGCCAACAAGUUAACUCCAUGUAGUAGCUUGUAAAACAAGCUAACUAUGUGGCAUAUACAUGGAUAACUUGCCUUGCAAGUUAAGAUACAUGUUUUGUAAAGUCAGUAUAUUUUGGAAGUCUUUUUGGACAUUGCCACGUGACUCCUAGUUAAGAGUAUAUAUAGAGUCAUGAAUGAAGCCUUCUUCAUUCUUGUCAAUGCAUUUUUAGUCUUUAGUCUUGUUUCAAGAUUAUUUAGUCUUCUUGUUUUUGGCAAUAGCCAUUCUAGUUUAAUAUUACAUCACCUUUUGAGUGACUUUCUAGUUCUCUUCAAUGAUACAAGAAUAUAUUAAGGAUUUUUUUUCUUCGAGAUUCAUGUCCUUGACAAUUUGACAAGAGUACUAAUAUACUAUUUUUGUCUUGUUUUAGAAGUAAAUGGAUUACUCCACUUCUAUUGUUAUAUUUUAAAGGUUAUGGACUACCCACCUUUAAACAAAAAAUCUUUUUUUUAACAUUGAUCUUUUCUUUUAAAAGAGUGGAUUACACCUUUUUGUAGAAAUUUUUAUUAGAUGUUGUGGAUUACCCUCCUCUAAUUUAAUUUUUUGGAUUUAUUUGAGUUUUCUACUCCUAGCAAUAGUGAGAAUAGAUUUGCAACUAUUGGGGAUCUUCAUGAGCUUAUCAACACUUUUAGGGCUGAAAUUUCAUGCAUCACCAACAUCAACCAUGGAAGCAAUACUUCUAUACCUAUGGAAGUAGUCCAAAAUCUACGUCAAGAAGUUGUGCAGUUGAAGGAAAUAAGUUGAUCAGCCUCACAACCAAAUUCAAAGGGUCUUCCUUCUACAAGCUCAAGAGAGGUAAGAAUUAGUAUGCCCAAGAAGUUUGAUGGAAAAAGAUCAAAAUUUCAAUGAUUAUUAUAACAAAUUAAGCUCUACUUAGGGUUACACCCUUUCCAAUAUGCAAAUGGAUUUAUUCAAGUUUGUUUCAUAGCUGCACUUCAAUCUGAAAGUGCUCUUUUUUGGUUUACAUCUUUGAUGGAAAAUGAUUCACGACUUUUUUAUGAUUUAAAUUCAUUCUUAGAAGUAUUUAUGGCCGCAUUUGGAAUAAGCGAUCAAAAAUAAGUAGCAGAGACCAAACUAUUAUUUUUACGACAAGAAUCACAAUCAGCCACCAUAUAUGCUAUUGAAUUCUAAAACCUCGCUUGUCAUAUGGACUAGAAUGAUAAAACACUUAUCAAUCAAUUUUGAUAUGAAUUGAAGGAUAGCAUCAAAGAUUUGUUAUUAACAAUGCUAUAAGUAGACUCUUUAAAAUAAUUUGUUGCUCAAGCCAUUGCACGCAACAAUCAAUUAUUUAAAAGGCAUCAAGUAAAAAGACUUGACUGGACAAGAAGAAGACAAGUAAUGGUAGUAGCUUCCAAGUUUUUUAAAAAGUAUUCAUGAAGGCUGGAACCAAUGCAAAUUGAUACGAUACAUUUUAAAUCUCUCACGAAGUAGGAAAAGACUUCAUGUCGCUAAGAGAGUUUAUAUUUAUAUUAUAUAGAAGCUGAGCACACUACUGAAUAUUGUCUAAAAAAGCAAUGGAAUUACAAAAUGAAGAGCAUAAUUACCAAAAAAGAUAAUGUACCAAAAAAUGAGUUUCUUCAACUACAAUAGAGAUCGUGCAGCUAAAAUCAUAUGUAACACCUAGUAAAGGUCCUAUUCUCUCCUCAAAUCCCUCACCUUGUUUUACAGUAGAUGUAUCUUUAGGACAAAAAAAUUACAAAGUCUUUGUCUUAUUAGAUUACGGGGCCUUAGCUAAUUUUAUAUAUGAAGAUUUUGUCAAAAAUCAAGAAAACUAAAUCCAUACAUAUAUAAGUCAUAGAUGGUUGUUUAUUGUCUUCUGAAAAUGUUAUCCAUGAGAUUGUUUCUUUAAAUAUAGAAAAUAAAGAUCAUAACAACAUAAUAAUAUUUAAUAUAAUAAGAUCUCCCUUCAAUCUAAUUAUUUUAGAAUUAUUAUAGCUAAAAAAAUAUAAUCUAUAAAUAGAUUGGAUUUCUUGUAAACUUAACUUUUCUUAUAGUAUAAUCCAAGAUGAGAUUAGUGAAGUAGAAGUAUAUAAGUUUAGUACAUCCAAACCUUUACUAGUAGAUGUGAGAACUUUCAUGCAUGUUAUAUCCAUUUCUAAUGGUAGAAAAAUGUCAAGUAAUAUUCUUAGCCAAUAUCAAGAAUUUCAAGAUAUUUUUUUUUUAAAAAAUGUAGAUAUUCUUCUAAAGCAUUGACCUUAUGAUUGUUCAAUUGAUCUAUAAGGAGCUCAAUUACUAUUUGGACCAAUCUAUAGCUUAUCGCAAAAUGAGUUGGCUACAUUAAAUGAGUACAUUGAUGCAAACUUAGCAAAAAACUUCAUAUGCCAUUCUAAAUCUCCGGACGGAACUCCUAUCUUAUUUGUUUAGAAAAAUGAUGGAUCUCUAUGAAUGUGUGGAUUAUGAAGGACUCAAUAAGAUCACCAUCAAAAAUAUGUAUCCUUUGCUUUUGAAUUCAGGACUUCUUGACCAACUCAAUCAAGCAAAGAUCUAUAUCAAAAUAGAUCUACAAAAAAUAUACAACUUAGUUCAUAUCAAAGAAGGAGACAAAUAGAAGACUACCUUUUGAACUAAGUAUAUACAUUUUGAAUAUAAUAUCAUGCUUUUUAGACUCACAAAUGCACCAAGUGCUUAUCAACAUCUUAUGAAUGAUGUUUUUUCUGAGUUUUUAGAUGAUUUUGCCAUUUGCUAUUUAGAUGAUAUUCUAAUUUAUUCUAAGAACACAGAAAAACAUAAACUUCAUGUUUGUCACGUGUUACAGAAACUUAGUCAUAUAGGAUUAUAUGUCAAGUUAAAAAAGUGUAUAUUCCAUACUACUCAAAUUGACUUUUUAGAAUGCAUCAUUUUCAACAAAGAUCUUAUGAUGGAUCCCAAAAAGGUCCAAACUAUCAUAGAUUAGAAGAUUCCAAGAACAAUACUAAAUAUGCGAUAUUUUUUGAGCUUUGCUAAUUACUAUCGAAUCUUCAUCAAGAAUUUUUCUCAAGUUGGAACUCCACUUAUAUAUUUGACUUGUAAAGACAAACUCGAGUAGAGUAAAGAAGCAGAAGUAUCAUUUGAUGCUUUAAAGAAGGAGUUUACUUUUGCACCAAACUUGUAUUGUGUCGAUUUUUUCAAGGUAUUUUUAUGGAACCAAAUAUGUCAAACUUUGCUAUAGGUGUUGCAUUGUCACAAAUAGGAACAGAUGAUAAAUUCUAUUCAAUAGCUUUUUAUUCUAUGAAAUUUUUAGUAGCUAAGAUUAAUUAUGAGAUCCAUGACAAAGAACUCCUUACAAUCGUAGAUUCAUUUCAAGAAUGGCAUCAUUAUCCAGAAGGCACCUCAAAUCUAAUCAUCGUAUAUACAAAUCAUAAAAAUCUCAAGUACUUCAUGUCAGUAUGUAUUUUGAAUCAUCAUCAAGCCCAUUGGAGCAUGUCUUAUCUAGAUUCAAUUUCAAGAUCACUUAUCAAUCCGAUAAAGAUCUAUUUGAUGCCCUUUAUAGAUAUUCUUAUCUUGCACCAAGAGAAAGAGAUGCAUCUUUUGAUCAACAAAGAACGAUUUUCUUGAAGCCCAAACAUUUUCAUCUUUAAGCAAUAAAAUCAACAUUGACUAUUGAUUCAAUCUUUGUUAUGCAAAUUCAAUCAAGUAUGUCUUAUGAUUCUCUUAUUUAUGAUAUUAAGAAUACUUCCUCUAAGUCCUAUGUCACUUCAAAGUUUGAUUUUAAAAACAACUUAUUAUAUUUCAAAGAUUGCCUAUAUGUUCCAAAAGGUGAGGCACAAUUACCUGUCGUUCAAGUUUAUUUUAGAUACAACAAGAGUUUGGAGCUAAUAUCAAGAGAUUUUUGAUGGCUUCAAAUGUGAAAGGCAAUCAAAGACUUUGUAUAAUCAUGCGAUACUUCUUUAAGAUUCAAAACUCCUCGCCAUCAAUCUUAUGGACUUUUUCAAUUGUUACUUGGUUGAAAAACCAAUUCUAAAACAAUCAUUUUAUCAAUCCUAAAACAACCAAGGUCUUUUGUUUCUAUAGAUUUUAUCAUAGAUCUUCCAAUCUGAAAUUCAUAUGACUCUAUAUUUAUAAUUGUAGAUCGCUUCAUCAAAAUGGCACAUUUUGUAUAAUGUACAAAAUCUAUUUCAAGUGAAGAAACAGUUAAGCUUUUCAUUGAUAAUAUUUAUUGCUAUCAUGGAUUGCCAAAUAAUAUUAUAUUAGAUAAGAGGACUUAAUUUGUAUCAAGAUUCUAAAGAAUCCUAUUCAAGAUUUUAAAGGUGGAUAUAAAACUUUCUUUGGCUUUUCAUCUUCAAAUUGGUGGACAAACAAAAUGGAUGAAUCAAGUUCUAAAGCAGUAUUUGAGGUGUACCAUUAAUUAUCAUUGAUAUGAUUGGACAAUUCUUUUAUCAUUAGCAAAGUUUACGUAUAAUAAUUCAGUACAUUCUUCUACUCAACAAAUACCUUUCUUUGCCAAUUAUAGUUAUCAUCCAUGACUUGAUACUUUUGACUUUUUAAAAGUUUAUAAUCCUACUGUGAAAGAUUUAGCAAAUUAUUUAUUAGAGCUAUUUACAACAAUGAAGAUACAAUUAAAGGAAGCUCAAGAAUAACAAAAGAUCAAUGUAGAUGCCUAUUGCAAGGAAUAAUCACAAUUCAAUAUAAGUGAUAAGGUAUAGUUACUUUGUUGCAAUAUCAAGACUACUUGUCCUUGUAAUAAGUUGAACUAUUAUAGGCUGAAAUCUUUUCUUAUUUGUGAAGAAUUCAAUCAUGUUGCUUAUUGAUUACAUCUAUUGGAGUUUAUGAAGAUCCACCCUGUAUUCCACAUGUCCCUUUUUGGGCCGUAUAAGACAAUGAAUAUCUUAAGAAGAAGACAAAUGCCACCUCCUCCUAUAGAAGUAGAUAAUAAUCAAGAGUUUAAUGUGGAAGAAGUCUUAGACUGAAGGCGAUGCCAAAAUAGGUUGGAAUAUCUUAUUUAUUGGUACGGAUAUGAUAUUAGUGAACACACAUGGAAGCCAUCAAAGAAUUUUAUAAAUACAACAAAGAAAGUUGAAGCCUUUUAUCGAUGACAUCCAUCAAAAUCAAGAUGAAGAAUUAUAAAAGAUGAUGAUCGCUCUUUGUGGAACUCGUCCCUAAAAAAAAGGAGGGGUAAUAUCACAAAUAUAUACAAUUAUUCAAAAAUUUAUUUAUAUGAUUAGGUAGAAAUAGGUAAAUAUAGAUUAAUUUCAUAAAGUCUUCUAGAAAAGCUUCUUAGAAGCUUUAUAGACACAGUUUUGAUUUUAUGUGUGUUUGUAGAUUAGAAAGUUGGCCAAUAAAUUAACCAUGUAUUGAUCGCCUGUAGAAUAAGAUACUCCAUGUAGUAGCUUAUAGAAUAAGCUAAUUAUGUGGCGAAUAUAUAAAUAACUUGCCUUACAAGUUUAGAUACAUGUUUUAUAAAUUAACUUGUUUUGGAGGUUCUUUCGGAAAUCGCCACAUAGCUCCUAGUUAAGAGUAUAUAUGGAGGCACGAGCGAAGCCUUCUUCACCCUUGUCAAUGCCUUUCUAGUCCUUAGUCUUGUUUCAAGACUUUCUAGUCUUGAAACAAUAGCCAUUCUAGUUUAAUAUUACAUCACCUUUUGAGUAACUUUUUAGUUUUUUUCAAUGACAAAUGAGUAUAUUGAAGAUUUUCUUUCUUUAAGAUUCAUGUCCUUGAUAAAUAUAUAAGUUAUAAAAUAUAAAAAUUAAUAAAAGAUUGUAGAUAAUUACAAUGGUGUAAAGAAAAUAUUUUUUAAAUUAAAAAUUAAAAAAAUAUUUAAAGAGCUAUUAGAAGAUUUCAAGUUUUGUCAUGAUACAUUAUUUGAUUUACUUUUAAAAGAAUAUUCAAAGGUGUUGGAAGAUGUUAUAUUUGUAGGCUUUAAUUUUACAAUCAAUGAAGAAGUUAAAUGUAAUAAUGAACAACUUCACCAAAGAUUGUAUUAUGCAAGCAAAGAUAUAUAAUUUAAAGAUUAUGAUUUAAUAAAUCAUCUAUUUGCAAGAUUGAACUACUUGUGAUAUAUAGAAGGUAGAAAAAUUAAUAUUUUAGAAGUAUCAAGCAAUACCAAAAGUUUAAAGAUUAUAAAACCUAUUAAUGAAAGAGCUUAUGGAUAAGUUUAUGAAUCCAAAUAUUGAGAUUUCUAAGUGCAAUCAAAGUAAUGGAUGUUAGCAUGAAUAUACUUUUUAAAUAUCAAAUAUUAUUAUAUAGAAAAAAAAUCAAAUUAAAAUAAUAUUAUCUUAAUUAUAAAAAAUCCAAAUAAAGAAGUAUAUUUAGUCAUGGAAUUGAUGCAAAUUAGUUUGCACAAAAUAUUAGAGCAAAAAAGACCAAAUCCAUAUUACUUUCUUAUUGAUAUUAUGUAUUAAAUUGCAAGAGGAAUGUGCUAUUUGUAUGACAUACAAAUUAUACAUUGAGAUCUAAAGCUUGAAAAUAUCUUACUUAUUAUUAUAGAUAAUAAAAAACUCAACAAUAACUUCAUAUAUGCUUUUUUUGAAUUGAUUGAUUUAUGAACAUCUACAAUCAAUGUAGGAAGAAAUCCAAAUUUUAAAACUAAUAAGAAUAUAAAUGGAACUUUAUAAUACAUAGCUUCAAAGACAUUAAAAAAUAGAAUAGAAUCAAUAAAGAUAUGUGCUUUAGAAGUAGAUGUAUAUUCUUUUGUAAUGACAUGUUCUAAGAUUCUUUCAAAAAAAGAUCCAUUUGAUGAUAUUUGGGAUAUAAAAAAAAUUAUAUAAAGAAUUAAAAAAGGCAAAAGACCAAUGUUAUCUUCAAAUUGUGACAAACUUUCUAAGUUGUUUUAAGAAUGUUGGAAUUUGGAUCCUUGACAAUGACAAAAUUUUGUAAAUAUUUUUGAAAGACAUAAAGUAUUGAAAAAAAAAUACUUAGUGAAAAUUGAUGCAAUCAACAUACCUACUUUUGGAGCUUCUAAGAAACAAUUUUGUUAAAAGAAUUAACUAAAGAAUAUUCAUAAUAACAUUCUAUUGAUAUUUUUAAUAUUAAAAUAUUUAUUUCAUAUAUAUUAGAUUAAUUUAAAUAAUUUUGUGACAAUUUUAUUUAUUUAUGCAUGUUUUGACAAUGGUUUUAUGUAACAAUAUAAAUAUAUAGUCAAAUAAUUUUUAAAAAAUUUAAGACAUAUAAUGUGUAUUUUAUAAAUUGUAUUAUUUAUUUAUUUAUAUAAAUAUUUAAAUAUAAAAAUAUUAAUUUAUUGAUUAUUUUUUAAAUAUAAUAUAUAGAAAUUAUUUUUAAAUUUUAUAAUUUGAAUAUUUUACACAGAUAAUUAAAUAUGAAGAAAUAGUUUUUGGUAUGAAACAAUGUUUAUUGGAUAUUAAACAACUAUUCAAGAAAGAAAUAAAGAUAUUAUGUUUUGUUGGUAUAGGUGGAAUAAGAAAGACUUCAUUGGUAAAGGCCAUAUUUGAUAACAUAAAUGAUACAUAUAAUGUAUCAUGUUUUGUUGAAAGUAUUUAAAAUGAAGAUAAUAGCUAUACAAUAAUUUAAAAAAUAUUUAAACAAUUUAAUAUUCAAACAAAAUCAAAGACUUUAGAAGAAAGACAAGAGAUGAUAAAAAUAUUAUUAAUAAACAAAAAAAAUAUAUUGAUAUUGAAUGAUGCAAAGAAUAAAAUUGAAAUUAAUAAUGUUGUGCCUAUAAAUAUAAUAAAUUCUAGAAAAGAAAAUAUCGUAAUUGUGACAACACAAAACUCAAAGAUUGUAAAAAAUUGUCCAAUAAAAUUUUAUAUAAUAGAUAUUAAAGAACUUAAUGGAAAUACAAGUUUAAGGUUAUUUAUUAAUCAUUCUUCUAGAGUUGGUGAUAAAUUACCUAAAGAACUAGUAGAGUUUGGCAAACAAAUUAUGCAAUCUUACAAUAGACUAUCAUUGAAUUUGAAUGUUAUAGAUGCAUCUUUAGGAUGACAAAAGAGAUUGAGAUGUAAAGAACAAGCUUUACAAAGAUUAAAAAGAAGAAGGGAUUUAGAUGGAAAUAAAAAAAAGAUAGUGAUUAUAAACUUUGGGGUAUUUUAAAGAUAAACUUUGAUGUUUUAAAAACUAUAGAAAAAAAAAAAAUUUUGGAUUUUUUUUUUUUUUUUUUUUUUUUUUUUUGCAAUAAUGAGUAUCAAGGUAGUAUAAUGAAAGAAAAAAUAUUACAAAUAUAGAUCCAUACUAAGAAUAAUUUUAUUGAGUAAGAUACAAGCAUUAUUUUAAUUAUGUUAAUAUAUCAAUCAAUGAUAAAAAUAGACAACAAUGGAAUUAUAAAAGUGCAUGAUCGACUAUAAGAUAUAGGUCGAAGGAUUAUUAAAGAAGAAGGAGAACAUAAAGGCACAUGAAUUUGGAAUAUGAAUUUGAUACCAUAUAUUUAUAUCAAAGAUGAGAUUUUUAACUUUAAUAAAAAUAGCAUAUAUAAAAUUAAUAAUUAAAUAUAUAUAUAUAUAUAUAUAUAUUUUAAUGUAAAAUAUUUUAAGAUUUUUUAUAUUUUGAUUUCAAAGAAUAUUAUUGAUUUAAAUCUCUAAUCAUUUAUGUAUUGUACUAUUGAAUAAUUUGAAGAAGUUAUUUAUAAUACUCAAAUAGAAAAUAAAAUCAAUAAGAUAUAUCCUAAAUAUUUAAAUUUUUUUUCUUUGAAUAUUCGAAUAUGAUUUUUAUGAAAGUUGAAGUAAAGAUAUAUGCAAAAUAUUAAAAAUAUGUGUUUUAUUAUUAAAAAAUGCUAAUAAGUUAAAAUAUUUCUAUAUAAGAAAUCUAAUAAAAUAUUUUAUAUAUUAUUAGCUAAAAAAGUACCACUUUUAAUUUUUAAUGGAAAUUUUUGGAUAAUAUUUGAAGAAUUAACAAUUUUAAACUUAAUAGGUAUUAAUCUUACUAAAAUAUUGUCAGUUUAAAUAUUUAUUAUUACUAAAUUAUUAGAACUAAGACUAAAAUUUUUUUGGCAUUUGGAAAUUUCAUCUAGUAGAAUAAAAUAUCUUACUUCUUUAAAAAAAAUUAAUUCUAAAGUGUUAUACGUAUUUACUAAAAUUACCAAAUGAGUUAGUAAUUCUUAUUUCUUUGGAAGAACUUAACUUAUCAAGUUGCUGAAUCUUGAUAAGGUUUCCAAAUAAAUUAAAAUAUAUUUCUUUAUUAAAAAAAUUUAAUUUAUCAAAUUGCUUAAGCCUAACAAACUUGCCAAAAAAAUUGAAAAUUUUCUCUUUAUUAGAAGAACUAAAUUUAUCAAAUCAUUCUAGAUUAGUAAGUCUACCAAAUAAAUUUGAAAAUCUUUCUUCUUUGAAGAAACUUAAUUUAUCAUAUAAUUCAAGUUUUAAAAGCUUACAAAAUAAAUUAGCAACCAUUUUCUUCUUUAAAAGAACUUAAUUUGUUGCAUUGCUCAAGUUUAUUAAUUUUAUCAAAUAAAUUGAAAAAUAUUUGUUUUUUAUAAGAACUUAAUUUAUUACAUUGCUAAAACUUAAAAAGUUUUGCAUAAGGAUUGGCAAAUCUCUCUUUUUUUUUAAAAAAUAAUUUAUCAAGUUUUUUUAGUUUUAAAAACUUAUCAAAUAAAUUAAUAAAUAUUUCUUCUUUAAAAGAACUUGGUUUAUCAUCUUAUUCAACCUUGAAGAUUUUUCCAAAUGAAUUGAGAAUUCUUUCAUCUUUAAAGAAACUUAAUUUAUUUGAUUGUUUAAGUGUCACGGACACAAAAUACAGACUUGAAAUCUAACAAGAAGUUCAAGAAGAAGUGGCAGAACUAGAUUAAACAGAUGAGUACAAGAACAACACCAGAAAGGUGAGCUAGAACUCCAAGAGAUGUGUUGUCGAGACUGAAGAACCCUUCAGCCUCGACUCCUAUAUAUACUACUGAAUAGGAAGCUUCUCGAGCUACUUCCGCUAACUAGGACGCUUCUCCAACAACUUCUACUAAUUAGGAAACUUCUCGAGCAACUUCCUAGAAUCUAUCAGAAUAUUCUAGAACCUUCUAAGAGAAUCUUUAGGGAAUAUUAUAAGAAUCUUCUAGAACCUUCUAAAGGAAUCUUUAGAGAAUAUUCUAGAAGAAUAUUCGAAGAAUCUUCCAAUGUAUGUCCAUGACAUCACCUCCUCUUCUAACUUCGAGGUCUCCGAGAAGCAAUGUUGUUAUCAGUCAAUAUCAACGCAAGAAAAUAAAAAUCUGUCGCAUCACAUCCGCUAUGAAUUCCAAUUAUUGUUCGCGAGGCAAAUGAUUCAUCGACCCUUGGAGCCAACGGUAGUGACCAACACCUUCAACCUCUGACCAAGCGUGGAUUUCUGUGUCUUCAUUGUGAAACUGUCCUCCAAACACACCUUCUGGCUGACCGUCGUAGGCAGGCUCGACCUCAAAUACAAUUACUAGCGAUCUGUUGCUCGGUAUCCUCCGACGUCGUCGUGGUGCAGGCGGUUCUUCAUCUCGCGGUCGUCUUCGUGAGCUAGUCGCUUGAGAUGACAUAACAAGUGUAGUAUCUUGACUAUCCAUGUCCAAAGGCUAAAAUGAUGAGAGCAAACUAUAGUUGCUAAUAAAGUUCUACACUAUCGAACUAUGGGUUUUGGAGGUGCCCUCCCCCCUUUUUAUGCUACUUGAUGAGCAAGCUUCAGCAAGAAGCUAUCGUUGAAUCGGCUUAGGUUUAUGAGGAUAUCGUUGAUGAAAUUCUUGUACCUUUUUUGGUGCAUUGGCAAGAUUUUCGGCACGCUCCCACGUUCGUUCAUUGAUGUCGUAUCCACUCCAAUGCACUAAAUACUCCAAUUUUCUCCUAUUACGCCGUGAAUCUAGUACCUUUUCCACCUCGUAUUCCUCAUGGUUUUCAAUUUCGAUACUUGGUGGCGGACUUUGUACUCUUUGGAGAAAAGCUGACUCUUGAUAAGGUUCCAACAAAGACACGUGAAAGACUGGAUGUACCUUCAUAGUAGCUGGUAACUCCAGACGAUAUGCCACCGGAUUGAUCUGCUUCUCGAUAACAAAUGGCCCUAAUCUUCGAUAGUCCAAUUUGUCACAUGGCCGCUUGGUCUUGAUAUUUCGUCGAAGAAGCCAUACUUUACUUCCAACUUUAAAAGUAGGCGCCUCAUUUCGAUAUUUAUCUGUAGAUGCCUUGUAACUCUCUUGGGCAGAUUGCAAUUGAAGCUUCAACGUCGCUUGAAGCUCCGAUAGUUGCUUCACAAAUCCUUCAGCUGCUGGGUUGUUAUUUGCUGAAGAACUCAAUAAAUCGAGCUUGGGGUGGUAUCCGUAGUUGGAGAAGAAUGGUGUUUGUUGAGUUGACGCAUGAAGAGUGUUGUUGUAUGCAAACUCAGCAAGCGGUAGAUAUGCAGUCCAAUCAUCUUGUUGAUAGUUGAUGCUGCAUCGUAAAUAUUGCUCCAAAACUUGAUUCACCCGCUCCGUUUGACCGUCAGUUUGAGGAUGAAAAGCCGAAGAGAGCUUAAUAUACACCUUCAAUAUCUCAAAGAGGGACCUCCAAAACUUGGAUACAAACUGAGUACCUCGAUCCGACACGAUAUCAUCUGGUAGGCCAUGAUAACGAUAUAUGUUAUCAAGAAAGAGUCUUGCGGUGUCUUCACUUGACGAUGUUUUCUUGCAAGGCACGAAAUGCGCCAUCUUUGUAAAUCGAUCCACCACAACAAAGAUGCUGUCAAAUGAAUUCGAUGGCGGUAGGUCCGUAAUGAAGUCCAUAGAAACUGAAGACCAUGGUCGGUGCGGAAUAAGCAAUGGCUGGAGAAGUCCAUACGGACGAUGUCGAGGGAUCUUGGAUCUUGAACAAACAUUACAAGAAAGGACAAAUUCCUUCACAUCCUUCCACAUUUGGGGCCACCAAAAAUCUCGUGAAAUGAGCUCCAAAGUCUUGUUGAAUCCAAAAUGUCCCGCAGUUGGAAAGUCGUGGCGAGAUUGAAGUACUCGGAGUCGAGUUGGUCCUUUUGGGAUAUACAACCGCUCCUCAAA
rnacentral:lncRNA from 1 species